AACAAACUCUGAGUUUAACCCUGAACUCUGAGUUGAUCUACUCUGAGAUAGAAAACUCUGAGUUUCUGGUUCCAGAACAGCUGAUCUGAGUUGGUUUAAUCAACUCGGAGUAGUUUCACCCGGAGUUAAGCGCGUGCACCACAACUCUGAAAAGACAGCAUCAAUGGAGCGCCGAUUCGACGAGUCACCAUGGCAACGGGGAAGCGGAGGACUACACUGCUUGAAUUGGAAAUCUUAAUGCGCUUAUAUAGCGAGUUUGAACACGUUUUUAGAAAGAAGUGCAACACCUGCAGCUGUAAAAGAGAGGGAGACGGUGUGGGAGAACAUUGCUGCCUGGGUCAAUGUAUUCUGAUGGUACUAUCUGCCUGGUGGAGCCCCUUCACACCACAACAGACCUUGUAACUGAUGAAGAGGAUGAAACUGUGUCUGCUGCCUUCAUAGAGGGGGAUCCAGAAAGGCAUACAGAGAGCAUGGCUGGACAGCAGCAGGAUGCUUCCUCAACUUCCACUGCACAGAUUGACACAGUGAGAUGGAUGUUCAGUAAACAUCAGAGGUUCAGUCCAUGGAAUUCAUGUGCAACUGUAUAAUUUAAUGUCCUCUAUGUAUUCCCAGUCAUCAGUAAAACAGAUUUACAAACUGCACUUGCUGAGAAAAAUCCAGAAAACAGAUAAAGAAAUACAGUAUUUGGACCGCCAGAUUAGGAGGGCAGAUCUGGAAACUGAAAUACUGGAGCACAAGUUAGAGGUGGAUGCAGGUCACAGGUGAACUAUGUUAACUACUGGAACAUGAACUAAACUAGCUCUUUUAUUGUAGGAAAUAAAGAAGACCAAAUGAAAUGUAUGUCAUGUGUUUAUUUG